CUGCCUCAGAUUUUAGAGUCCAUUUUGGGACUCACCGCCUCUAGUGGGUUUUGCUUUAAUUUGGGCCACUGUGGACCAUUUCUAUUUCUAAGAACACUCCCUUGUUCUCCCACUGCUGCUUUUUCAUAAUUGCCUACACUUGUGUUUAAUCAAAGUUCUGGCCCCUUAAUGCCCUCUGAGAUGCAGGCUAAAAUUGUGUAAACUUGUUUCUGCCUUCUACAGUAACUAUUUGGGUCAGGCGAGCACAUCUGAGACCUGCCGUGCUGGGCCUUUGGGAGUGUCUGUGAGCGCAUGAGCGUGUAUGCAGUCAGGAGUCACCUGGGGAGCUGGCCCGGGGCUCUCACAUGAAAGCCCAACCAGCCACAGCCACAGUCGCCCUGCUAUUCCUAUCAAGACCUUGCAUAACAAGAAAUUGUUCACAUGCCAAGGCUAGAAAGGCAACAGACUCUGCAAAGCCAAGCUUUCAUUGACCUUAUAACCAGAGGGCCUAGCUUGU
rnacentral:lncRNA from 1 species